GGGGCAAUAGCUCAGUUGUAGAGUUUCCUCUUCAUAUGCGGGAAGACCUGGGUUCGACUCCCUGCUGCUUCC
rnacentral:tRNA from 1 species